UUAUCGGUGAUGGAUGGGGAUGCGUCUGAUUAGCUUGUUGGCGGGGUAACGGCCCACCAAGGCGACGAUCAGUAGGGGUUCUGAGAGGAAGGUCCCCCACAUUGGAACUGAGACACGGUCCAAACUCUACGGGAGGCAGCAGUGAGGAAUAUUGGUCAAUGGACGAGAGUCUGAACCAGCCAAGUAGCGUGCAGGAAGACGGCCCUAUGGGUUGUAAACUGCUUUUAUAAGGGAAUAAAGUUAGUCUCGUGAGACUUUUUGCAUGUACCUUAUGAAUAAGGACCGGCUAAUUCCGUGCCAGCAGCCGCGGUAAUACGGAAGGUCCGGGCGUUAUCCGGAUUUAUUGGGUUUAGAGGGAGCGUAGGCCGGAGAUUAAGCGUGUUGUGAAAUGUAGAUGCUCAACAUCUGAACUGCAGCGCGAACUGGUUUCCUUGAGUACGCACAAAGUGGGCGGAAUUCGUGGUGUAGCGGUGAAAUACUUAGAUAUCACGAAGAACUCCGAUUGCGAAGGCAGCUCACUGGAGCGCAACUGACGCUGAAGCUCGAAAGUGCGGGUAUCGAACAGGAUUAGAUACCCUGGUAGUCCGCACGGUAAACGAUGGAUGCCCGCUGUUGGUCUGAAUAGGUCAGCGGCCAAGCGAAAGCAUUAAGCAUCCCACCUGGGGAGUACGCCGGCAACGGUGCAACUCAAAGGAAUUGACGGA
rnacentral:rRNA from 1 species